rnacentral:misc_RNA from 1 species
AAAAAAGCUGAACUUGGGUCUUGGGAUGAAAAGCUUAAUUUGGGUCACAUUGUUUUCUGUGAUGAUGGAAGUUCUACUAUGCUUGGAGCUGAAAAUAUUGAACUGUCUGAACAUGCAGAGGUGAGUGAUGAAGAAGAGAGUUACUCGAGUUCAGAAGAAAAUGAUUCCAGUGACUAUGAAGAUGAUAGUCCAGAAGGGUUAGGAUUUGUGGGAAGCACAGCCCUGCAGUGUGGUGUCCAGAAUGAAACAACACUUUUUGCCAAGUGGGAAAAUCACACACGUGGCAUAGCUUCCAAGAUGAUGGCAAAUAUGGGUUACCGUGAAGGAAUGGGGUUAGGCUCAUCUGGACAGGGAAUGGUGAAUCCUAUUCCUGUGAAAGUUCUUCCACCUAAACAAUCUCUUGACCAUGCCAUUAAAGGUGAGCAUGAAGACAAAGAGCACAAGAAAAG